UACGUAGGGUGCGAGCGUUGUCCGGAAUUAUUGGGCGUAAAGAGCUCGUAGGCGGUUUGGUAAGUUGGAUGUGAAAUCUCCAGGCUCAACUUGGAGGGGUCAUUCGAUACUGCCAUGACUAGAGUUCGGUAGGGGAGUGUGGAAUUCCUGGUGGAGCGGUGAAAUGCGCAGAUAUCAGGAGGAACACCCGUAGCGAAGGCGGCACUCUGGGCCGGAACUGACGCUGAGGAGCGAAAGCGUGGGGAGCGAACAGG
rnacentral:rRNA from 1 species